rnacentral:rRNA from 1 species
CAAUAGCGUAUAUUAACGUUGUUGCAGUUAAAAAGCUCGUAGUUGGAUUUCUGGAGGGAGCGUCGGCCCGUAUUUACGAGUGCGUGACGUCUCUGUCCAUCCUUGCGGGAAGGCACGGCAUUGAUUUGUUGUGUCGGAUCGCAUCAUUUACUGUGAAAAAAUUAGAGUGUUCAAAGCAGGCUUUCGCUUGAAUACAUUAGCAUGGAAUAAUAAGAUAGGACUUUGGUGCUAUUUUGUUGGUUGAGCCUAAAGUAAUGAUUAAUAGGGAUAGUUGGGGGCACCUGUAUUGCGUUGUCAGAGGUGAAAGUCUUGGAUUUACGCAAGACAAACAGCUGCGAAAGCGUCUGCCAAGGAUGUUUUCAUUA